rnacentral:rRNA from 1 species
UACGUAGGUGACUAGCGUUGUCCGGAUUUACUGGGCGUAAAGAGCGCGCAGGCGGUCGUUCAAGUCGAGUGUGAAAGCCCCCGGCUCAACUGGGGAGGGUCAUUCGAUACUGAUCGACUCGAAGGCAGGAGAGGGAAGCGGAAUUCCCGGUGUAGUGGUGAAAUGCGUAGAUAUCGGGAAGAACACCAGUGGCGAAGGCGGCUUUCUGGUCCUUAACUGACGCUGAGGCGCGAAAGCAUGGGGAGCGAACGGG